rnacentral:rRNA from 1 species
AUGUGCAUAAACUGUGAGGACCACUGCUGGGGCUUCCUAAGCUCACUUCUAUCUGAUUGGUCGAAGUUUGGGAAUAGCAUCACAGAACUGAAGGAAUAUCGGGAUCAGGGUGGCUUUAGACUGCAAUUUUCUUUCAAUGUUAUGCCCAUCUUACAAGGGCACUGGUGCUUUGGAAAUGUUAAUAGCCUGUUGAUUCCUCCUGGUUCGAAUGGGAAGUAUUAUCUCUAUGCUCAUUGCUGGGUGCUCCAAGUUUGCCAAGAUAGUUCACAUGGACUGAUCAAGAAGUCCAGUGCAUGGUAUUCGUUUAUCACAAGGUUCAGCGUCUGGGUGCCGGGCGUGCCAAUGAUAGCAUGGUCAGUAUGCAUGGCGUUAAUUCGGACUAACUUUGGGAGAUGGUGGACUACUUGUUUGCAGUGUUUGGAGCAACACCAAUGGUUAUCAAUGUUGUCGGCAUGUACAUCUCGGAUCUGGUUGGUAGCAUGGCCCAUGGACGGGGUGGAGCUCUGGAUUCACUGUGGGCACGCAAUUUUUCAAGGAGGGAGGAUCUUCAUGGUCGUCGCCACCUUUGUCGACCAUAACUACUACCUCGACGUCAUCCUCAACUUGGUUCCCAUCGGCCAUGAUGACUACUUCGGCAACCUGGGCAAGCAAGCUUGCUACUUUGAUCGAGUCUACACCCAUCUUGGCUACUAUCAUGAAGAUUACCAUGGCGAUCCUAGCAAGAUCAAGGAACUUCAAGCGCCGUGGGAUCCUGGCAAGUCAACCUUCCAGUCUUCUUCUGAGCUUCGGCUUGGGGUCAAGCCAAGUUUCAAGGAGGGAGGGGUGUUAGCAACCCUCCACGGGUGGGCCGUGGGCCGGCAUGAGAGGGUCGGGCCUAGCAUCUAG